GUUGGUGGUAUGGCAGAAGAGGUUGAGCUUUCCUACCAAUAUUCCUUUAUAUUUUGUUGUUGUGUGACAGACGGCAGUGGAGGGACAAUCUGACACAAUGGCGUCUGACAUGGAAGUGCCGAUGAAGCAAAAGUGUGCAAUUGAAUUCCUCCAUACAGGUGAACUGGAACCCACUGACAUUCAUCGAAGCUUGCUGAAUGUUUAUGGAGACCAAACAGUGGAUAUGAUCACGCCCACAGAAAUUGCAUGGGAUGUAACACAACAGAGAAACAGCAAUGGUUUUUUCAUCCUAAAUCUGAAAAGCGUAAGUCUGCUGCUCUUCUCCGUCCUCCAGCAUCAGCACCAGAAAGCAACAGAGCACACUCGGCCAGUUCGUAGGGUGUGUGAGAUAUUCUUUGUAAACUAGCCUGUAUCUUCUGUUUCAUAAACUGAGUGAUUCAGAGCUCCCUGAAAUCUCCAUUAAAAAUGCUGACAAUAGUGAAAAGUACUUUCUCGUUUCUGCCUCAGCAGCCACCAUUAUUCCUUGUAUUUCCUCCACUACUUGUUCAUCUGACAGAAGAGGAGAUGAGGGGAGGCCUGAUGGCGGCCGCAGCUCCUCACAGGGAGCGGAAGGGCAGCGCUGAGCUCUGCUCUGUGUGACAGCGACAGGGCCCGAGGGAACGGCAUGGAGCUGUGUCAGGGGAGGGGCAGCUGGGGGUCAGGACAGGGGCUGCACCAGAGGGCGGUGGGCAUGGAACGGGCAGCCCAGGGCUGUGGGCACGGCCCCAAGGGCCAGAGUUCAAGGAGCAUCUGGACACUGAUCCCUGACAUAGGGUUUUGGGUGGUCCCAUGUGGUGCCAAGUGUUGGGCUCCACAAUACCAGAUGGGAAACCAUAAAGCAGGGUAAGGGCAUAUUGUAAAACAAAACAGUCUGGAGAAGGGAGAAAACGUAUGUAUGGCUGUAUAUAUUAACAGCAGUUUUAGAAAAGCAGUUAGUCUUCCAGAAAAAAAAUGAUUAAGAAGUAUAGAAUAAGAUCCCGCUUUUUUUUCCAGCCAAAGCUUUAC
ensembl:lncRNA